AUUGAACGCUGGCGGCAGGCCUAACACAUUCACGUCGAGCGGAGCGGCGGACGGGUUAGUACUGCCUAGGCAUCUGCCUGGUAGUGGGUGAUAACGUCCGGCAACGGGCGCUCCUACCGCAUACUAUCAGAUGAGCCUAGGUCGGAUUAGCGAGGUGGGUGGGUAAGGGCCUACCCAGGCGACGAUCCGUAACUGGUCUGAGAGGAGGAUCAGUCACGAUGGAACUGAGAAACGGUCCAGACGCCUACGGGAGGCAGCAGUGGGGAAUAUUGGACAAUGGGCGAAAGCCGGAUCCAGCCAUGCCGCGUGUGUGAAGAAGGUCUUCGGAUUGGAAAGCAAUUUAAGUUGGGAGGCGUUACCAACAGAAUAAGUACCGGCUAACUUCGUGCCAGCCGCCGCGGUAAUAC
rnacentral:rRNA from 1 species